rnacentral:rRNA from 1 species
AGGGAAACCGAGUCUUAACUGGGCGUUAAGUUGCAGGGUAUAGACCCGAAACCCGGUGAUCUAGCCAUGGGCAGGUUGAAGGUUGGGUAACACUAACUGGAGGACCGAACCGACUAAUGUUGAAAAAUUAGCGGAUGACCUGUGGCUGGGGGUGAAAGGCCAAUCAAACCGGGAGAUAGCUGGUUCUCCCCGAAAGCUAUUUAGGUAGCGCCUCGUGAACUCAUCUUCGGGGGUAGAGCACUGUUUCGGCUAGGGGGUCAUCCCGACUUACCAACCCGAUGCAAACUGCGAAUACCGAAGAAUGUUAUCACGGGAGACACACGGCGGGUGCUAACGUCCGUCGUGAAGAGGGAAACAACCCAGACCGCCAGCUAAGGUCCCAAAGUCACAGUUAAGUGGGAAACGAUGUGGGAAGGCUCAGACAGCCAGGAUGUUGGCUUAGAAGCAGCCAUCAUUUAAAGAAAGCGUAAUAGCUCACUGGUCGAGUCGGCCUGCGCGGAAGAUGUAACGGGGCUAAACUGUGCACCGAAGCUGCGGCAGCGACGCUUAUGCGUUGUUGGGUAGGGGAGCGUUCUGUAAGCCUGCGAAGGUGUCCUGUGAGGGAUGCUGGAGGUAUCAGAAGUGCGAAUGCUGACAUAAGUAACGAUAAUGCGGGUGAAAAGCCCGCUCGCCGGAAGACCAAGGGUUCCUGUCCAACGUUAAUCGGGGCAGGGUGAGUCGACCCCUAAGGCGAGGCCGAAAGGCGUAGUCGAUGGGAAACGGGUUAAUAUUCCCGUACUUGGUGUUACUGCGAAGGGGGGACGGAGAAGGCUAUGUUGGCCGGGCGACGGUUGUCCCGGUUUAAGCGUGUAGGUGUGUGUUCCAGGUAAAUCCGGUUCACUUUAACACUGAGGCGU